rnacentral:rRNA from 1 species
UCGCGUGUGAAAUCCCCAGGCUCAGCCUGGGAAGUGCAUUCGAAACUGACAAGCUUGACUGCUGGAGAGGGUCGUGGAAUUCCCGGUGUACAGGUGAAAUUCGCAGAUAUCGGGAGGGACACCAGCGGCGAAGGCGGCGACCUGGACAGACACUGACGAUGAGGCGCGAAUGCGUGGGGAGCAAACAGGAUUAGAUACCCUGGUAGUACACGCCGUAAACGAUGGGUACUAGUUGUUGUGGGUAUUGACCCCUGAGGCAACGAAGCAAAACGCGUUAAGUACCCCGCUUGGGGAGUACGCCACGCAAGCUUAAUACUCAAAGGAAUUGACGGGGGCCCGCACAAGCGCUGGAGCAUGUGGUAUAAUUCGACGCAACGCGUAGAACCUUACACCAGCCUUGACAUCUGGGGACACCGCACUGAAAGGUGGGGUGCCUUCGGGAGCCCCAAGACAGGUGCUGCAUGGCUGUCGUCAGCUCGUGUCUGUGAGAUGUUGGGCUUAAGUCCCGCAACGAGCGCAACCCUUGUCUCUAGUUGUUACCGGGUCAUGCCGGGCACUCUAGGGAGACAUGUCCUGGUGUUAAACCGGAGGAAGGUGGGGAUGACAGUCAUAGUCAUCAUGGCCCUUAUGGCUGGGCGCUACACACGUGCUACAAUGUCCUGGUACAAUGGGCUGCGAGCCUGCGAAGGUGAGCCAAUCCCAAAAAACCGGUCUCAGUUCGGAUUGGAGUC